GAUGAACGCUGGCGGCGUGCCUAAUACAUGCAAGUCGAGCGAACGGACGAGAAGCUUGCUUCUCUGAUGUUAGCGGCGGACGGGUGAGUAACACGUGGAUAACCUACCUAUAAGACUGGGAUAACUUCGGGAAACCGGAGCUAAUACCGGAUAAUAUUUUGAACCGCAUGGUUCAAAAGUGAAAGACGGUCUUGCUGUCACUUAUAGAUGGAUCCGCGCUGCAUUAGCUAGUUGGUAAGGUAACGGCUUACCAAGGCAACGAUGCAUAGCCGACCUAAGAGGGUGAUCGGCCACACUGGAACUGAGACACGGUCCAGACUCCUACGGGAGGCAGCAGUAGGGAAUCUUCCGCAACGGGCGAAAGCCUGACGGAGCAACGCCGCGUGAGUGAUGAAGGUCUUCGGAUCGUAAAACUCUGUUAUUAGGGAAGAACAUAUGUGUAAGUAACUGUGCACAUCUUGACGGUACCUAAUCAGAAAGCCACGGCUAACUACGUG
rnacentral:rRNA from 1 species